rnacentral:rRNA from 1 species
CCUACGGGUAGCAGCAGUGAGGAAUAUUGGUCAAUGGCCGGAAGGCUGAACCAGCCAAGCCGCGUGAAGGACGAAGGUGCCAAGCAUUGUAAACUUCUUUUGUCAAGGGACAAAAUCAGGCUCGAGAGCCUGACCGAGGGGACUUGAAGAAAAAGCAUCGGCUAACUCCGUGCCAGCAGCCGCGGUAAUACGGAGGAUGCGGGCGUUAUCCGGAUUUGUUGGGUUUAAAGGGUGCGUAGGCGGACUGUUAAGUCAGCGGUAAAAGCCCGGGGCUCAACCCCGGCGAGCCGUUGAAACUGGGUGACUUGAGUGGGCGAGAGGUAUGCGGAAUGCGCAGUGUAGCGGUGAAAUGCUUAGAUAUUGCGCAGAACUCCGAUUGCGAAGGCAGCAUACCGGCGGCGAUCUGACGCUGAGGCACGAAAGCGUGGGUAUCGAACAGGAUUAGAUACCCGGGUAGUC